rnacentral:rRNA from 1 species
UACAGAGGUCCCACGCGUUGUUCGGAAUUACUGGGCGUAAAGGGCGAGUAGGUGGCCAUCUAAGUCAGACGUGAAAUCCCCCGGCUUAACCUGGGAACUGCGUCUGAUACUGGACGGCUUGAGUAUGGGAGAGGAACGUAGAAUUCCAGGUGUAGCGGUGAAAUGCGUAGAUAUCUGGAGGAAUACCGGUGGCGAAGGCGGCGUUAUGGACCAUUACUGACACUGAAACGCGAAAGCUAGGGGAGCAAA